rnacentral:rRNA from 1 species
GACGAACGCUGGCGGCGUGCCUAACACAUGCAAGUCGAACGGAACUUCUUUAAAGGAUUUCUUCGGAAUGAAUUUGAUUAAGUUUAGUGGCGGACGGGUGAGUAACGCGUGAGUAACCUGCCUCUAAGAGGGGAAUAACAUUCUGAAAAGAAUGCUAAUACCGCAUAAUAUAUAUUUAUCGCAUGGUAGAUAUAUCAAAGAUUUAUCGCUUAGAGAUGGACUCGCGUCCGAUUAGUUAGUUGGUGAGGUAACGGCUCACCAAGACCGCGAUCGGUAGCCGGACUGAGAGGUUGAACGGCCACAUUGGGACUGAGACACGGCCCAGACUCCUACGGGAGGCAGCAGUGGGGGAUAUUGCGCAAUGGGGGAAACCCUGACGCAGCAACGCCGCGUGAAGGAUGAAGGUCUUCAGAUUGUAAACUUCUUUUAUUAAGGACGAAGAAAGUGACGGUACUUAAUGAAUAAGCUCC